GCCCCCGAGAGCGGCCUCCCUCCUUUCCUCAGUCUAGGCUGGAGAGCGUCCAGGGAGGUGCUUCUGCUUUCGUUUUCCCUUCUUUUCUCCCCCGCCCUGUGAACUUAGGACCGCAUAUUCCUUUUAAAAGCGAGGUGCUGCUUCUCUCUCCUCUCGUUUUGUCCAGCACCUGCAAGGUAGAGGAAGGCUAGGAUGCGCCAAGCAGACUUCGGAAAGGAGCCCCAUGGAGUUUCAUAGCACUUGCUAACAGGUAAAGAGGUAUACAAUUGCAGCCGGAGCCACGUUGGUCUAUCAGCAGAGUAGGGCCGAUCCAAAUGUCCACGAAAUAAUAAUAAUAAUAUUUUUUUAUUUAUACCCCGCCCUCCCCAGCCAAGGCCGGGCUCAGAGCGGCUUACAAGCAAUAAUAAAAACAAGAAGAAUGAUUACAACUUAAAAACAAAAAUAAAAUACAACAUUAAAAUAAUGGAACAUUAAAAUAUUAAAAUGUAGCCUCAUUGCAGGAGGAGAAGGAAAAGAAAAAAGAAAGAGAGGGAGGGAGGGAAUCAAAUUGGCUCCAAGCCAAAGGCCAGGCGGAACAACUCUGUCUUACAGGCCCUGCGGAAAGAAAUCAGAUCCUGCAGGGCCCUGGUCUCAUGAGGCAGAGUGUUCCACCAGGCCGGAGCCAGAGUUGAAAAGGCCCUGGCUCUGGCUGAAGCCAAUCUAACUUCCUUAGGGCCCAGGACCACUAGGGUGUUGUUAUUUAUGGACCUUGGAACAUGCUGUGCUGAGAUGUCAACCGCCCAACCACAAAAGAGGAAAACCUGCUUUAAUGGUGAAGUUACAAACGCUUGACUUCAGUCACUGUCUUUUUAAAAAAUAAAAAAGAUUUUGGGACGAGAAACGCAGACAUGGGGGUGGCAGGUGCCCCUAGAUCAAUAAAAAUCAAUAAAAAUACAAUUCUCAGGUUCUGACGCCCCCAACAAAAAUCCUGACUACGCCCAUUAAAGCAGACUUAAUUAGAUUAAGCACUUUGUAGCUUUGAGCUUCUGUCUUGGGCUGCUGGGACAAAGUAGUAAGUAAUCACUCCUCCCUUUGUAUGUGUGUGUGUGUGGAAAUGUAGCACUUACCUAUGCAUCUGGAUAAGGACUCAUUUCUUCCUUGCCCUUACACCUGCCUUCCUCAAAUAAAUAUUCAGCCCACAAAUUUUGGAAUUCCAGGACUGUAGAUUGGGGAGCUACUGCAUUUCCAUGGAAACGUCCUUAUAUGGACUCAGACCAUUGGCCAAUUUAUCUCAGCAUUGUCUUCACUCAGUUGGCAGUGGCUCUCCAGGGUUUCACAUUGGAGUCUGUUCCAGCCCUACCUGCAUAUGACAGGCAUUGAAAUUAAGAACAUAAGAGCCCGCUGGAUCAAGCCAGUGCCUCAUCUCAUCUAGUCCAGUGUCCUAUUCUCGAAGAGGCCAGCUGGAUGCCUUUGGGAAACUGGUAAGCAGGACCUGAGCACAAGAGUACUCUUCCUUCCUGCGGUUUCCAGCAAUUGGUAUUCAGAACCAGAAUACCUCUUGACCAUGGAGGCAGAGCCUAACUACUCUUAUCCUCUCAGGAAUUUGUCUAAUCUUCUAAAGCAUUGAUUACAUUGUGAAACAUUGUCAACAAGAUGUAGAAAUACCUAAUUCUAUGCCUUCAUCUUCCCC
rnacentral:lncRNA from 1 species